UUUGUGCUCGUCACGGUGACAGUUCAAUGUUCCCAACUCUAUUUGCGCAUCACAGACAAUCCCCGGCGUUAACUGACCGCUAAUGCAUAAAGCGGAGCCUUGGGGAAUGUCGCAUUACGCAACGUACGUGCAGGUGAAUUGGCGCGCAUUCCUCAGUACAUAAAUGGCCAUAUUUCCUCAACCGUUAAGCGUGCAGCCAAUCACAGGCGAAAGAUGCUUCAGGAUUCCCGCUGGUACCGGAAAAUUGGACAAAUUUGGUGUAGAUGUCCCUGUUAGAAACGUCAGAGAAUCUCUAAGCCAGAUUUCGUCCAUUUUGGAAAAAUAGAAAGAGGGAGCGCAGGAAAAACCGAGAGCCGAGCGGUGUGAAUGACACCUCGAAAUCUGUCAUUAUCGACCGGCCGGACAUUUCCGUCGAAUCUCGAGAGAUGAAUGUGAGAUCAGAUGAAACACUGAUUGAGCAAAUACAUGAGACAGGAUACAGAUUUUGUCUGUACAGAGUCGCUCUGAUGAGUGUGGCAGUCCUGCAGCGAUGCAACAUUUUCCACUGAAUCACCAUAUGCCAGUUUGAGCUCCUCCAACUCCUCCUUGCCAAUCAGAACAGAAAGAGCACAAUAUUUUGAGCUCCACUCCCUGGUGAUUGUUUAGGCCGUUAAACACAGCUGGUAAAUCUCUCAGCGUCUCCACCAGCCUGCAGUCCAGGUGGAGCUCCACCCCAGGCACCGGUAACACCCCCUGGUUGUGCGGAAAGCCCC